UCUGGACGUAUUAUGGGUGAUGCAUUUUGUCCUGAGUUAAAACCACAAAGAGUCCCAUGGUACUCUGCAAACUAACACAAAUUUAUUGUGGAUUAAGCCUCCCUCUCUCUGUAUGUAUGUAAGAUAAUGAUGGUAGGGAUGUAAUAAAAAUAUGACAUAUUCAAGGGAGUGCCAUGAGGGGUGUACACUUUUAUAUGGGUACAUAGUGGCACAGUCCUCAGUACAACUACUCAGAAGUAAGUCAGAACCCCAGUGCAUUAAGGACUGCCUCUCCCCAUAUGAACCACCCUAGACCCCAUGAUCACGAUCUGAGGCCCUUCUUCGUGUGCCCCCUCCACAAAAGUACCAGAGGGUCAAAGGCAGACUUUUAUAAUCUUUUGUAAUAUGGCGUCCCACGCGAGGCCUACAUUUGGCGUCUCCAAAUGGAUCUUCUCAGUUAUAGGUUUUCUCAGAUUUAAUUAUUUAUUUAUUUAUUUAUUUGCAAAUAAUUUUUAUUUAAGUUUUGAACAACAAAGAAAGAAAGGAAAAACAUACACAAUACAUAUCUCGACAAAAGGAAAAAAAAAUAACAAGAACACACACACAAAAACACAAUUCAACAAUAAAAAACAAAAAACAUAACAAUUAAAAACAAUAUCUCUUUUCCAUUUCCGUUUUUUUAGUUUGCUUAUUUUCUGGACUUCCUCAUACCUCCCUCUUUUGUAUUCCAAUCCAAAUUGUUUGUCCAGCAAUUUCUUUUCAACUUUUUUAAUCCCAAUCUUUAACUUUAAUAUAAUAUUGUAAUAUAUAUCUUCGAUUUCUUUAAACCUGAUCUUUAAUCUUAGUAUAAUAUAACAUUAAAAUUUUCCCUCUUGUCAGAUUUCCAUUUCUUUAAACAUCUUUAAUCCUAAUCUUAAUCUUAAUCUAUCAUUAACUUUAACCUGUACAGCUGGAAACCGCUUAUUUUCAGUCCAACAUCACUCUAACAUUCUUUAAUUUUGCAAUGUUUCUGAAGAUAGUCUUUGAAUUUCUUCCAGUCUUCCUCCAUCGACUCUUCUCCCUGGUCACGGAUUCUGCCAGUCAUUUCCGCCAGUUCCAUAUAGUCCAUAAGUUUCAUCUGCCAUUCCUCCAGCGUGGGAAGUUCUUGUGUCUUCCAAUAUUUUGUGAUAAGUAUUCUUGCUGCUGUUGUUGCAUACAUAAAGAAAGUUCUAUCCUUUUUUAACACCAUUUGGCCGACUAUGCCCAGGAGAAAGGCCUCUGGUUUCUUAGGGAAGGUAUACUUAAAUACCUUUUUUAAUUCAUUAUAUAUCAUUUAUAUAAAGGUUGGAAAGGUUUUCUCAGAUUUAUGCCCCUUGGGCUUGGUGCCCUGUGCGUGGGAUCUGUCUCGACUGCAUUAAAUCCAGUGCUAGGAGAGCGGCAACAUGAAAACAGGGUCUUUUCAGUGGUGGCUCCGUUUGUGGAACAAUUAUCUUUACAACGUAUCUUCAGGUGCCUCUCCUUCAAAGCUGGCAGAAUGUUUUCAUGUAUUCUGCCAAACACACACCCCGCCAGGUUUUAAUGUAUGUAUGCACAUUUUUGUUUCUUUGUUAAGCCUUUU